CAUGGUGAAACUGAACAAAGGAACAAACAAUUACUGAAGUCCUCAGGCAGAUUCGUUCUGGGUGUUUCUGCCUUCAAGUCUAAAUGUGCCCAGACUUUUUCUGUGACGCUGGAUCUCCCUGUCUGAGGGAUCAGAAUACAGAGUACUGAGCGUUCUGUCUGAUUGUCCUCGGUGAGUGCGCGGUGCACUUUCUCCCAUCCAGACAGUGGAGGAGCGGC